UCAAUAAAGCGUUUUCCAUUGAGGAGAGGAGAGCAGAAAACGCGGUAGUCUCUGUUACCGUCUCUCGAGCUCCCAAUUGCCCCUUUUGUCUGCUGGGGUUGUCUGAAGAUUUUUUCCUUCCUGCAUUUUCCGAUGGGUUUGGAGUGGAAUUGCUUCCUUUGCAGGAAGAUUUUGGCGGAGGAAAGCGCUUCUUUUGACCCUUCAAUCCGUCUCUCCGGUGAAAUCGGCUUCUAGGUUACUCGAUUGUUAAGUUGGAAGUUGGGCUCUUUGCUAAUUUGAGCCCGGUUGGUGUCUUGCUGCAGGGCAAAGUAAAAAUUAUAAUGAGGACUUCCUAAUGAGGUAGCUAGAAGCUUUUGCUUUUCAAAUUUUGAAUUGUUUUUGUUCUUGGUCGUAUGGGAAUGGCUUAUUAGCAGCAAGAAGAAGAAUGAUUCUCAGGACUCAAGCGUAGUGUCACGUUUAGAGAUUGACAACAAUACAAUCAACCUGGGCGAUUGACCAUCAUCAUUGAGAAGAGGGUGGUCGGCCGGAGUGGAAUGCGAGAGAGGAGGAGAUGGCAGCGAUAAUGCUUUGGUUGACAGGAACGACGUUGCGUUGGAAUGGAGAUGACAAGGGGUAAAUUGAAAGUCGGAUAGAAAGAUGUCAGACCAGUUGAAUUAUUUUAGGGUUAUGAUAUUACUCCAUAUAUGAUAAUACUUGAAUCAAAUUUGUGAGCUGAUUCAGUUAGAGGUAUGGUUUAAUUAAUGCAGCCGGUUCCACGGGUGGUUUAUUAUA